CUAUCUUCCCACAGCUUUAUUGAACUGCAAAGGUUUAAGUACAAAAAAAAGGACAGAUCCAACAGAUCAACAUUGAACCAUGCAGUUCAAGAAAGCUGUGGAAGAACAGA
rnacentral:ncRNA from 2 species